UCCUACGGGAGGCUGCAGUGGGGAAUUUUGGACAAUGGGGGCAACCCUGAUCCAGCCAUGCCGCGUGAGUGAAGAAGGCCUUCGGGUUGUAAAGCUCUUUCGGCCGGGAAGAAAUCGCAUCUCCUAAUACGGGGUGUGGAUGACGGUACUGGAAGAAGAAGCACCGGCUAACUACGUGCCAGCAGCCGCGGUAAUACGUAGGGUGCGAGCGUUAAUCGGAAUUACUGGGCGUAAAGCGUGCGCAGGCGGCGCCAUAAGACAGCUGUGAAAUCCCCGGGCUUAACCUGGGAACUGCGGUUGUGACUGUGAUGCUUGAGUGCGGCAGAGGGGGGUGGAAUUCCACGUGUAGCAGUGAAAUGCGUAGAGAUGUGGAGGAACACCGAUGGCGAAGGCAGCCCCCUGGGUUGACACUGACGCUCAUGCACGAAAGCGUGGGGAGCAAACAGGAUUAGAUACCCCGGUAGUCUAA
rnacentral:rRNA from 1 species